rnacentral:rRNA from 1 species
UACAGAGGUCUCAAGCGUUGUUCGGAUUCAUUGGGCGUAAAGGGUGUGUAGGUGGCGCGCUAAGUCGGGUGUGAAAUUUCGGAGCUUAACUCCGAAACUGCAUUCGAUACUGGCGUGCUUGAGGACUGGAGAGGAGACUGGAAUUUACGGUGUAGCAGUGAAAUGCGUAGAUAUCGUAAGGAAGACCAGUGGCGAAGGCGGGUCUCUGGACAGUUCCUGACACUGAGACACGAAGGCCAGGGGAGCGAAACGGG